rnacentral:rRNA from 1 species
UGCAGUCGAGCGGUAGCACAGAGAGCUUGCUCUCGGGUGACGAGCGGCGGACGGGUGAGUAAUGUCUGGGAAACUGCCUGAUGGAGGGGGAUAACUACUGGAAACGGUAGCUAAUACCGCAUAACGUCUCAAGACCAAAGUGGGGGACCUUCGGGCCUCAUGCCAUCUGAUGUGCCCAGAUGGGAUUAGCUGGUAGGUGGGGUAACGGCUCACCUAGGCGACGAUCCCUAGCUGGUCUGAGAGGAUGACCAGCCACACUGGAACUGAGACACGGUCCAGACUCCUACGGGAGGCAGCAGUGGGGAAUAUUGCACAAUGGGCGCAAGCCUGAUGCAGCCAUGCCGCGUGUGUGAAGAAGGCCUUCGGGUUGUAAAGCACUUUCAGCGGGGAGGAAGGCGAUGAGGUUAAUAACCUUGUCGAUUGACGUUACCCGCAGAAGAAGCACCGGCUAACUCCGUGCCAGCAGCCGCGGUAAUACGGAGGGUGCAAGCGUUAAUCGGAAUUACUGGGCGUAAAGCGCACGCAGGCGGUCUGUCAAG